rnacentral:misc_RNA from 1 species
AAAAUGUUGCAUGAUAUAUGCAGGUGUGUUGGCCUAACCUAACUUGUCAAAUUGUUUGAAGGUUAAGCUGCUUUCCCAGCUGUGCUUUUAGAAUGUUCAUAGUAUUUACACCUAAAUUCCAUUUGUGAUCUCAUCUUUGAAGGACUAAAUUUAAUAGUUUCAUUUGCUGUUACUAACUCACGUGCAUCCUCAAUUUAAGGUUUGAUAUUCUAUUUUUUACUAUUUAAUUGGAAUCUAUUAAUUUUCAGAAUUUAUGUUCAUGCUUGACUGAGAAGGAGACCUUGAUGCCGGUUUUGUGUUGUCCUGCUCUCUAUUCUUGAGCUUAGU